CAGAGGAAAAUACAGGAUUGCAACAGAACAACUGGGGUUCAGAGGUAGUGGUUCUCAUGGCUAUGACUUAACUGACUCACCAUGAACGACGACGGCGACCAGGAAUUCCGGCGAUAGCGGCGGCAGAGGAACAGCUCCUCUUGUGCGUCCCUUUUU